CUACGGGCCGCUGCAGUGAGGAAUAUUGCGCAAUGGGGGAAACCCUGACGCAGCGACGCCGCGUGGAUGAUGAAGGCCUUAGGGUCGUAAAAUCCUGUCAGGUGGGAAGAAGUGGAUAUAGAUUAAUACUCUAUUUCUUUGACGGUACCACCAAAGGAAGCACCGGCUAACUCCGUGCCAGCAGCCGCGGUAAUACGGAGGGUGCAUACGUUGUUCGGAAUUACUGGGCGUAAAGCGCGCGUAGGCGGUUUGUUAAGUCAGAUGUGAAAGUCCAUGGCUCAACUAUGGAAGUGCAUUUGAAACUGGCAGACUUGAGUACUGGAGGGGGUGAUGGAAUGCCCGGUGUAGAGGUGAAAUUCGUAGAUAUCGGGAGGAAUACCGGUGGCGAAGGCGAUCACCUGGCCAGAUACUGACGCUGAGGUGCGAAAGCUAGGGUAUCAAACGGGAUUAGAUACCCCCGUAGUC
rnacentral:rRNA from 1 species